rnacentral:tRNA from 1 species
GCCUGGGUGGCUCAGUCGGUUGAGCGUCCGACUUCGGCUCAGGACACAAUCUCACGGUUUGCGAGUUCGAGCCCCGCAUCGGGCU